UACGAAGGGGGCUAGCGUUGCUCGGAAUCACUGGGCGUAAAGGGCGCGUAGGCGGCCGAUCAAGUCAGGGGUGAAAGCCUGUGGCUCAACCACAGAAUUGCCUUUGAUACUGUUCGGCUCGAGACCGGAAGAGGUAAGUGGAACUGCGAGUGUAGAGGUGAAAUUCGUAGAUAUUCGCAAGAACACCAGUGGCGAAGGCGGCUUACUGGUCCGGUUCUGACGCUGAGGCGCGAAAAGCGUGGGGAGCAAACAGG
rnacentral:rRNA from 1 species